CACGUGGGUGAUCUGCCCUGCACUCUGGGAUAAGCUUGGGAAACUGGGUCUAAUACCGGAUAUGACCACAGCAUGCAUGUGUUGUGGUGGAAAGAUUUAUCGGUGCAGGAUGGGCCCGCGGCCUAUCAGCUUGUUGGUGGGGUAAUGGCCUACCAAGGCGACGACGGGUAGCCGACCUGAGAGGGUGACCGGCCACACUGGGACUGAGACACGGCCCAGACUCCUACGGGAGGCAGCAGUGGGGAAUAUUGCACAAUGGGCGGAAGCCUGAUGCAGCGACGCCGCGUGAGGGAUGAAGGCCUUCGGGUUGUAAACCUCUUUCAGCAGGGACGAAGCGUGAGUGACGGUACCUGCAGAAGA
rnacentral:rRNA from 1 species